UACGUAGGGGGCGAGCGUUGUCCGGAUUUAUUGGCGUAAAGAGCUCGUAGGCGGUUUGGCAAGUCGGGUGUGAAAACUCCGGGCUCAACUCGGAGACGCCACUCGAUACUGCCAUGACUUGAGUCCGGUAGGGGGAGUGCGGAAUUCCUGGUGUAGCGGUGAAAUGCGCAGAUAUCAGGAGGAACACCGGUGGCGAAGGCGGCACUCUGGGCCGGUACUGACGCUGAGGAG
rnacentral:rRNA from 1 species